rfam:Brachypodium distachyon strain Bd21 chromosome 3, whole genome shotgun sequence.
UGACUAUUCUCUUCGUCCAACAAAUGACGUCUCAACUUUGACUAAAUUUGAAUGCAUCUAUACACUAAGUCAUGUCCAGAUACAUCUAAAUUUUGAUAAAUUUGAGACAUUUUUUGUUGGACGGAGGGAGUAAAAG